rnacentral:rRNA from 1 species
GACGAACGCUGGCGGCGUGCUUAACACAUGCAAGUCGAACGGAAAGGCCCUGCUUUUGUGGGGUGCUCGAGUGGCGAACGGGUGAGUAACACGUGAGUAACCCGCCCUUGACUUUGGGGUAACUUCAGGAAACUGGGGCUAAUACCGGAUAGGAGCUCCUGCUGCAUGGUGGGGGUUGGAAAGUUUCGGCGGUUGGGGAUGGACUCGCGGCUUAUCAGCUUGUUGGUGGGGUAGUGGCUUACCAAGGCUUUGACGGGUAGCCGGCCUGAGAGGGUGACCGGCCACAUUGGGACUGAGAUACGGCCCAGACUCCUACGGGAGGCAGCAGUGGGGAAUAUUGCACAAUGGGCGGAAGCCUGAUGCAGCAACGCCGCGUGCGGGAUGACGGCCUUCGGGUUGUAAACCGCUUUCGCCUGUGACGAAGCGUGAGUGACGGUAAUGGGUAAAGAAGCACCGGCUAACUACGUG